AGUGAACGCUGGCGGUAUGCCUAACACAUGCAAGUCGAACGGCAGCACAGUAAGAGCUUGCUCUUACGGGUGGCGAGUGGCGGACGGGUGAGGAAUACAUCGGAAUCUACUUUUUCGUGGGGGAUAACGUAGGGAAACUUACGCUAAUACCGCAUACGACCUACGGGUGAAAGCAGGGGAUCUUCGGACCUUGCGCGAUUGAAUGAGCCGAUGUCGGAUUAGCUAGUUGGCGGGGUAAAGGCCCACCAAGGCGACGAUCCGUAGCUGGUAUGAGAGGAUGAUACGCCACACUGGAACUGAGACACGGUCCAGACUCCUACGGUAGGACACAGUGGGGAAUAUUGGACAAUGGGCGCGAGCCUGAUCCAGCCAUACCGCGUGGGUGAAGAAGGCCUUCGGGUUGUAAAGCCCUUUUGUUGGGAAAGAAAAGCAGCAGGUUAAUACCCCGCUGUUCUGACGGUACCCAAAGAAUAAGCACCGGCUAACUUCGUG
rnacentral:rRNA from 1 species